rnacentral:rRNA from 1 species
GUUUGGUUAAGUUAGAAAGGGCGCACGGUGGAUGCCUUGACACUAGGAGUCGAUGAAGGACGGGACUAACGCCGAUAUGCUUCGGGGAGCUGUAAGUAAGCUUUGAUCCGAAGAUUUCCGAAUGGGGAAACCCACUAUACGUAAUGGUAUGGUAUCCUUACCUGAAUACAUAGGGUAUGGAAGACAGACCCAGGGAACUGAAACAUCUAAGUACCUGGAGGAAGAGAAAGCAAAUGCGAUUUCCUGAGUAGCGGCGAGCGAAACGGAACAUAGCCCAAACCAAGAGGCUUGCCUCUUGGGGUUGUAGGACAUUCUAUACGGAGUUACAAAGGAACGAGGUAGACGAAGCGACCUGGAAAGGUCCGUCGUAGAGGGUAACAACCCCGUAGUCGAAACUUCGUUCUCUCUUGAAUGUAUCCUGAGUACGGCGGAACACGUGAAAUUCCGUCGGAAUCUGGGAGGACCAUCUCCCAAGGCUAAAUACUCCCUAGUGAUCGAUAGUGAACCAGUACCGUGAGGGAAAGGUGAAAAGCACCCCGGAAGGGGAGUGAAAGAGAUCCUGAAACCGUGUGCCUACAAAUAGUCAGAGCCCGUUAAUGGGUGAUGGCGUGCCUUUUGUAGAAUGAACCGGCGAGUUACGAUCCCGUGCGAGGUUAAGCUGAAGAGGCGGAGCCGCAGCGAAAGCGAGUCUGAAUAGGGCGUUUAGUACGUGGUCGUAGACCCGAAACCAGGUGAUCUACCCAUGUCCAGGGUGAAGUUCAGGUAACACUGAAUGGAGGCCCGAACCCACGCACGUUGAAAAGUGCGGGGAUGAGGUGUGGGUAGCGGAGAAAUUCCAAUCGAACCUGGAGAUAGCUGGUUCUCCCCGAAAUAGCUUUAGGGCUAGCCUUAAGUGUAAGAGUCUUGGAGGUAGAGCACUGAUUGAACUAGGGGUCCUCAUCGGAUUACCGAAUUCAGUCAAACUCCGAAUGCCAAUGACUUAUCCUUAGGAGUCAGACUGCGAGUGAUAAGAUCCGUAGUCAAGAGGGAAACAGCCCAGAUCGCCAGCUAAGGUCCCAAAGUGUGUAUUAAGUGGAAAAGGAUGUGGAGUUGCUUAGACAACUAGGAUGUUGGCUUAGAAGCAGCCACCAUUUAAAGAGUGCGUAAUAGCUCACUAGUCGAGUGACUCUGCGCCGAAAAUGUACCGGGGCUAAAUACACCACCGAAGCUGCGAAUUGAUACC